GACGAACGCUGGCGGCGUGCUUAACACAUGCAAGUCGAGCGGUAAGGCCCUUUCGGGGGUACACGAGCGGCGAACGGGUGAGUAACACGUGGGUGACCUGCCCUCAGCUCUGGGAUAAGCCUGGGAAACCGGGUCUAAUACUGGAUAUGACCUCAUGACGCAUGUUGUGGGGUGGAAAGCCUUGUGCGACUGAGGAUGGGCCCGCGGCCUAUCAGCUUGUUGGUGGGGUGANGGCCUACCAAGGCGACGACGGGUAGCCGGCCUGAGAGGGCGACCGGCCACACUGGGACUGAGACACGGCCCAGACUCCUACGGGAGGCAGCAGUGGGGAAUCUUGCGCAAUGGGCGAAAGCCUGACGCAGCGACGCCGCGUGAGGGAUGACGGCCU
rnacentral:rRNA from 1 species